UACGACUACAUAUCAGGCAUAUCAAUAAGCGGAGGAAAAGAAACUAACUAGGAUUCCCUUAGUAACGGCGAGUGAAGCGGGAAGAGCUCAAAUUUGAAAUCUUCAAGGUUUUACCUUGACGAAUUGUAGUUUAAAGAAGUGUUUUCUGUUGAAGUUUUGGUAAAAGUUCUUUGGAAUAGGACAGCAUAGAGGGUGAGAAUCCCGUAUUUGACCAUUAUUUUCAGCUGUGUGAUACACUUUCAAAGAGUCGGAUUGUUUGGGAAUGCAGUCCAAAAUGGGUGGUAAAUUUCAUCUAAAGCUAAAUAUUGGCGAGAGACCGAUAGCGAACAAGUACCGUGAGGGAAAGAUGAAAAGAACUUUGAAAAGAGAGUUAAACAGUACGUGAAAUUGUCAAAAGGGAAGCGUUUGACACCAGUGUUGUUUUCUCGAAAAUCAAUUAAAAAAGGUGGAUUUUGUGUUGUAUUGACCUUUAUCAGCUUUCUGCACUCUUUUCCAGCUUUUUUUAAUGCACUUUUCGUUUAACAAGUCAACAUCAGUUUCUUUUGUUGUAAAAGGGUCAUUGGAAGGUGGCUUCCUCUUCGGAGAAAGUGUUUAUAGCCUUUGAUCUCUGCAAUCGGAGAGACUGAGGUCUGCAGCGUAGAUCCUUCGGGGUUAGAUACAUUUGUGCUAAGCUAUCAGCUUUCAUAGACAACUUGUUGACUAUGAUUAGUCAUUGUAGCUUACUCGCUUAUGCUAUUUUACCUACGCUUAGGAUGUUGAGCGCAUGUCUCUCUCU
rnacentral:rRNA from 1 species